CCUACGGGAGGCAGCAGUGGGGAAUAUUGGGCAAUGGGCGCAAGCCUGACGCAGCAACGCCGCGUGAGGGAAGAAGGCUUUCGGGUUGUAAACUUCUUUUCUCGGGGACGAAGCAAGGUACGGUACCUGGUGAAUACACCACGGCUAACCACGUGGCAGCAGCCGCGGUAAUACGUAGGUGGCAAGCGUUAUCCGGAUUUACUGGGUGUAAAGGGCGGGUAGGCGGGGAAGCAAGUCAGAUGUGAAAGCCAUCGGCUCAACCUGUGGCCUGCAUCUGAAACUGUUCUUCUUGAGUGCAGAAGAGGACGACGGAACUCCUAGUGUAGCGGUGGAAUGCGUAGAUAUUAGGAGGAACACCAGUGGCGAAGGCGGUCUGCUGGACAGCAACUGACGCUGAGGCGCGAAAGCGUGGGGAGCAAACAGGAUUAGAUACCCCGGUAGUC
rnacentral:rRNA from 1 species